rnacentral:rRNA from 1 species
UACGUAGGGGGCAAGCGUUGUCCGGAUUUAUUGGGCGUAAAGAGCGUGUAGGCGGCCAGGUAGGUCUGCUGUGAAAACUCGAGGCUUAACCUCGAGCUGUCGGCGGAAACCAUCUGGCUAGAGUCCGGAAGAGGAGAAUGGAAUUCCCGGUGUAGCGGUGAAAUGCGCAGAUAUCGGGAAGAACACCCGUGGCGAAGGCGGUUCUCUGGGACGGUACUGACGCUGAGACGCAAAAGCGUGGGGAGCGAACAGG